rnacentral:rRNA from 1 species
GACGAACGCUGGCGGCGUGCUUAACACAUGCAAGUCGAACGGAAAGGCCCUGCUUUUGUGGGGUGCUCGAGUGGCGAACGGGUGAGUAACACGUGAGUAACCUGCCCUUGACUUUGGGAUAACUUCAGGAAACUGGGGCUAAUACCGGAUAGGAGCUCCUGCUGCAUGGUGGGGGUUGGAAAGUUUCGGCGGUUGGGGAUGGACUCGCGGCUUAUCAGCUUGUUGGUGGGGUAGUGGCUUACCAAGGCUUUGACGGGUAGCCGGCCUGAGAGGGUGACCGGCCACAUUGGGACUGAGAUACGGCCCAGACUCCUACGGGAGGCAGCAGUGGGGAAUAUUGCACAAUGGGCGGAAGCCUGAUGCAGCAACGCCGCGUGCGGGAUGACGGCCUUCGGGUUGUAAACCGCUUUCGCCUGUGACGAAGCGUGAGUGACUGUAAUGGGUAAAGAAGCACCGGCUAACUACGU